rnacentral:rRNA from 1 species
ACUGGAUGACCUCCUUAGAGUUUGAGCCAGGCUCACGCGGAAUGACCUUUUAAGCCGGUACGCCCUCCGGGGUAGUGAUUUAUGUUAGAAAGAUUGGCCCCCGUUAGAUUAGAUAUUUGUUGUGGUUGGGCCUAACCGGCUCCGAUCCAUUCCCGGUCUUAGAGGAUGAGCCUGCCCCUGGUACUGAUACACGGAAGAACUCCUACUGGAGGCAGCACAGGGGAAUGGGGACAAUGCACCCAGGCCUGAUCCCACCAUGCCGCGUUAGUGAUGAAGGGCUUCCGGGUGUAAAGCUUUUUCACCGAUGAAGAUCCGGACGGUAAUCGAAGUAAAAGCCCCGGCUAACUUCGUGCCCGCAGCCGCGGUAAUACGAAGGGGGCUAUCCUUGUUCGGAAGUACUGUGCAUAAAGCGCACCCACGCGGAUCUUUAAGUCAAGGGUGAAAUCCCGCAGCUCGCCUGCAGAACUGCCAUUGAUACUGGGUAUCUUGAGUAUGGAAUAGGUACGUGGAAUUCCGAGUGUACAGGUGAAAUUCGUAGAUGUUCCUCAGGAACACCAUUGGCGAUGCGGCUUACUGGUCCAUUACUGACCCUGUGGUGCGCUAGCAUGGGGAGCAAACAAGAGUAGAUACCCUGGUAUUCCACGCCGUAAGCGAUAAAUGAGAGUCGUGCUCAGCAUACUGUUCUAUGAUAUCGCUAUCUCCUUAGACAUUCAGUCUGAGGAGUGCGGCGUCAGAUUAUCACUCUAGGGAUUGACGUGUGUCCUCACAAUCGCAGAGCAUGUGGUAUAAUCAAGCAACUCGCGACCUUACCACUCUUGACGUU